ensembl:miRNA
ACACACCUGUGCUUUAGUGGUGGCUUGCCACCUAGGAUGAGCCAUAUGUUUAUAUAAAUGUUAUGGAACAAAGUAGGUGGCGUGCCACAGCAGAGAGCUAGGCGUGUCAU